AUGUGUGUUUUCUGCAGGUUCUAUUGCAACAGGAUGGGAUUGAGAGAGAAAAAAAAGUCUUUUCUUUGCGUUUUUGGCAAGUUGUGGUGCAGAUUUUGCAUCAAAGCAGUAGCAGGGUGCAGCAACAUGACCUCGCAGGUUUUGGGCAGCAUUGCAGCAUACUUUUGGGACAGUAAUGCAGCAUACUUUUUGGCAUUAUUGGCAGCAAGAUAG